GCCUGGGUGGCUCAGUCGCUGAAGCAUCUGACUUCAGCUCAGGUCAUGAUCUCAUGGUCCGUGGGUUCGAGCCCCGUGUCAGGCU
rnacentral:tRNA from 1 species